ACCACCAGGGCACUACUCAUUUCUCCAGCUCUGAUCUGCUGUUGUACCAGGGGUCUAAUCGGGCCUGUGUCUGCCUCCUUCUUGAAUAGCCCAGAGAAUUCAUCUAAACAGCUUCCUACAGCAACUCCCUACUCCAGGGGCCAGACAGAAGUUCCAGACCAGUGUUGUCUCUGGGGACAUUGACACAGCAGCCAAGUUGAUUGGUGCUGGGGCAGCCACAGUUGGUGUGGCUGGUUCAGGGGCUGACAUUGGAACUGUGUUUGGCAGCUAGAUCAUUGGCUAUGCCAGGAACCCACCUCUCAAGCAGCAGCUCUUCUCCUAUGCCAUUCUGGGCUUUGCCUUGUCUGAGGCCACGGGGCUGUUCCGUUUGAUGGUUACCUUCCUCAUCCUCUUCGCCAUG
rnacentral:lncRNA from 1 species